rnacentral:miRNA from 1 species
GUGAGCGGACCGCGGCAAUGGG